AUCUAGCUAAGAGGCCCAGAAUAAGACGAAACGCGUGUCCUGGAU
rfam:Schistosoma mattheei strain Denwood, Zambia genome assembly, scaffold: SMTD_scaffold0006201